UAGGACAAAUGAUCGCGGCCGGAACCCUGCGUUCCGGGUGAGGAAAGUCCGGGCUUCAUAGGGCAGGAUGCCGGAUAACGUCCGGUGGAGGUGACUCCAAGGCCAGUGCAACAGAAAUAUACCGCCCCGGAGCAAUCCGGAGUAAGGGUGGAAGGGCAGUGUAAGAGACUACCGCCCGCACAGUAAUGGGCGGGGCACAUGUAAACCCCAUUCGAAGCAAGACCAAGAUAGAAGCAAUGUCGGCCCGGCAGCUUCUGGUAGGUCGCUUGAGGCUGUUGGUAACAACAGUCCUAGAUAGAUGAUCAUUCACGACAUAACCCGGCUUAUCGUUCUGCUCA
rnacentral:RNase_P_RNA from 1 species